rnacentral:lncRNA from 1 species
GCCCCUCCCACGGGAGGAGAUGUUGAUAGUCGGAGUGAACAGAGUAAGGAUAUUCUCUGGAACAAAUCGUACUAGUGGGUGGGUGUCUGUAUCUUAAAGGCAGGAACAGAGGCUCUGUGCCUCCUCCACCUGUUAGUCCAGCCAGGCACCCCACCCUGGAUGCAGCUUUGGGCCUGAGGCCGAGAGGUGCUUAUUCUAUCCCAAGGAAAUCAGGGCUCUGUUAAUAAGGAAGAAGAGAAUGAGAAGACAACUAACAAUCUUUGCUACAAUUGCUAAGCAAAAGGCACUUGAACACCUUCCACAGAAGAGGCAGACAUGAAAGAAAUGAAAGGUUCAAAAAUGGAAAAAUCACGGCAUAAAAGGUUGAGAGGAGAACAAUGCAACUGAACAAUGAAGAUAAAUAUAAAUAAUUCUUAAAUGUCUAGAUUCCUGGAAGAGGAGCAGUGUACCUUCUACAUAUGGCCAUGGCAGAGUAACUGGGAUCAGAUUUCCUUCCCAAUAUAAACAAUAAGAAAACUAGACGAAAGAUAUAAAACAACUGUUUUCAAACAUUGAACAACUGGCAGUGCAGGAUUGUGAUCCUUGUGAGCAGACUGGGACACUGGUCUUCUCCUUCCUUUGGACUCAGACUCAGACUUAGACUGGAAUUUACAACAUCAACUCACCUGGGUUUCCAGCUUGCCAACUUCAGAUCUUGGACUUCUCAUCUUCUAUAAUCAUGAUCUGUUCCAGAAGGAACUGCUGGAUCAAAGCAUGUGCGAACUCUUAAGGCUUCUGAUACAUAUUGCCAAAUUACCACUCGAAGGACUUACCAGCAGUGAAUGGGAGAACCUCUUCCCCAGGGUCCUGACCCACCCAACCAUAAACACACAAUAAGGAAGUAAGGGGGAUGGGGGAGGGAUAUUAAUGUUUUAAUUUGUUCUUUUGUUUAUAAGUAAAGAAAAAUUUGUUUAUUCCUUAUGAUUAUUUGUAUUUUUUCUUUUAUAAAUACUCUUUGUUUAUUAUUCAAAUCAGCAUGCUCUUCUCCUUUUUGUUUGCAAGAAGAGAGAGAAACACUUAGAAGAUAGAAUCCCAUAUUUCG